CUCAAAGCCGCCUGAUGUGGGCAAACUGGGGAGGGCCUGCUCCGUCAGCUGCGGGUGCAUGAUGCUCACAUCAGCCCUGACUGUGCCGCCUCGGGGCACGUCUGCCUGGCUCAUCAGUGCCCAGGGCACCCGCCCACUUCCUCCCCAUCAGAGGGCAGGCCAGCGCUGGCACCCAGGACAGAGGCAGGAAACAAGCUGUCCCAGCUGCGUGACCAACUGAGGAGCCCAGGACUUGCCGGUGGCUCUGUGACCCAGGUCCACUGGGGCUGGGCUGCCUGUCCCCAAACCCACAGGGGCACUGUGACGUGGACUGGUUCCCAGACCCAGAAAUGACCGUAACAGUGACUAAUAUUUACUGAGCGCCUACUGUGUGCCAAGCACGGCUCUAACUCAUCAUGACUAUUCUUUAAUCUUCAAACCAACUCUACGGGUGGGUGCCACCCCAUCCUAGGUGUAUAAAUAAAGACACACAGAAAGGUUAGGGGACUGGCUCAAGGAGCAGGAUUUGACCCGGUGACCUGGCUGCAGACCCCUACUCUCAGUCACCCCCUCUCCAGCUUGUUUGUUUGUUGCUUGUUUUGAUGAAGAAACGGAGUCCUUAAGUGCCAUCCCCAUGCUCAAAAUUUCUAACGCACAUCGCCUGCCAGGAGUCUCACCUGAACUCAGGGUUGAAUAUCCAGCUGUGGCUCCACAUGCCUAAUGGGCAACUCAAGAGCUCCAGCCGCCUGGCCCAGAGUCAACGGUGGUUCCAUCAGCGGGAAGGUGAAAAUGAAACUGUGCUCCCAGCUCCGGAAAGCACUCUGCAAUUCAGCAGGAAGAGAUCAAGGGUUAAUGACAUGGAGUUGGGCAGAGGCUGCCGCUGUGGCUCUGAGCAUUAUCAGGAGGCGGGAAACAAAGAAUGGUUGUUAAAUCGGUUUGUUACAAAAGUUAUUUCCUAAUGUAAUUCAUGAAACACUUGCCAGAACAUUAGGCACAUCCUUCGAAAGCACAAGGGAACUUAAAAAAGAAAGAAAGAAAAAGACGAAAAGAAAGAAAAAGUGGCUUCUAAAGUCAACGAUGGAACUCUUAGAAAGGGUUAUUGCCCUUCAUAUACAAAGAGCCCUUGCAAAACAAUAGGAAAAGGUACUCACCUUAUUAUAAAUUGGCUAUUCAGAAGUGAAGAAGUACAAAAGGCAGGCAAACAUGAAGACAAGAUCCACCUUGUAAGCAUGAUUACAAGAUCCAGUAAUCAAGGAAAUGCAAAUAAAAGCUACAAUGACAUAUCAUUUCCCAACUAUCAGAUUGGCAGAGAAUGGUGGUGUGCGCCAUGAUGUUCAAUGGGCAGAAAUUUUAAAGCAACUCAGAAAUUUAACCUUGGGGCAUUUCUCCUAAGGAUAUAGCAGGCCAAGCAGUCUCUAUGGACAACCGUGUUCACCGAAGUGUUGUUUAUAAUAGUAAAACACCGGGAGGGGGAAACCCAAGGGCUAAGCUACAGAGGAUUCAUUAAAUAAACAAUGGCAAGCUUCCAUAAUAAAAUACUAUAUUAAAAAUAGAUUGUAUUAAAUAAAUAUAAAACCUUUUA